AAUAAAAAAACCCUGAUUUUCGUGUGUAAUGUUUGACCGUCCGUCUUAUUUAAAAAAAUUAUAAAAAAAUUAAAAAGAUAAGUCACGUAUAAAGUAUUAAUCAUGUUUUAUCAUCUAACAAUAAUAAAAAUACCAAAUAUAAACAAAUUUCAUAUAAGACGAACGGUCAAACGUUGACACGGAAAUUCAGGGUUUGUUUUUUU
rfam:Oryza glaberrima chromosome 2 Oglab02_0376_16, whole genome shotgun sequence.